GUAAGGUAGCAUAAUAAUUUGUUCUUUAAUUGAGAACUAGAAUAAACGAGCUGACGAAGAGAGAUCUGUCUUUUUUAGGUAACUUAAACUUACCUAUAAGGUUAAAAGGCCUUACAACACCAAAGGGACGACAAGACCCUAAAAACUUCACCCCUUGUUUAAAGAAUAAGAAACGCAAAAAUCGGGGUUUUACUGGGGCGGUAAAUAAAAACAAAAUUAAAAAGAACACCCUGGGUGAAAAUAAAGUACAUGAAUUCAUACAAAGAAAUAGUUACUUUAGGGAUAACAGCGCAAUUUUUCCAGAGAGUUCUUAUCGGCGGAAAAGAUUACGACCUCGAUGUUGAAUUGAAAAUCCUC
rnacentral:rRNA from 1 species